GACGAACGCUGGCGGCGUGCUUAACACAUGCAAGUCGAGCGAGGCCAUCCUUCGGGAGGUGUCCUAGCGGCGAACGGGUGAGUAACACGUGGGCAACCUGCCCUCAGCUCUGGGAUAACCCCCACACACCGGGGCUAAUACCGCAGACGACCGCUGACCGCACGGUCUGGCGGGGGAAAGAUCUAUCGGCUGGGGAUGGGCCCGCGGCCUAUCGGCUUGUUGGUGGGGUAGUGCCCUACCAAGGCGACGACGGGUAGCGGGCCUGAGAGGGUGGCCGGCCACACUGGGACUGAGGUACGGCCCAGACUCCUACGGGAGGCAGCAGUGGGGAAUAUUGCGCAAUGGGCGGAAGCCUGACGCAGCGACGCCGUGUGGGGGAUGACGGCCUUCGGGUUGUAAACCUCUUUCAGCAGGGACGAAGCGAAAGUGACGGUACCUGCAGAAGAAGCACCGGCCAACUACGUGCCAGCCGCCGCCGUAAGAC
rnacentral:rRNA from 1 species